AAGGCCGAAUCCGAAAAGCCGGGAAGAGAGUAGGAA
rnacentral:ncRNA from 1 species